rnacentral:lncRNA from 1 species
CUUACCACACGCCAAGGAAGCAGGCACAGACUCCAACCCAGACCUAUGGAUUAAAACGCAGAGAGAAGGGGAAAGAAUGGGGGCGGGGGGGGCGCUUCGGGGAGCAGCACCUCGGCGAGGCCCCAGAGAGCUAACAGCCGCUGCCUUGGAGGGCGAGGUUAGCUGAAGAUUCCUAGAAGAAGAAUCUACUCUGGGACAUUUCUAUUUUUAAUUUUUACUCGAUUCCUAAAACACCAAAGU